rnacentral:rRNA from 16 species
UAUAACGGUCAUAGCGGAGGAGCCACAUCCGAUCCCGUCCCGAUCUCGGAAAUUAAGCCCUCCAGCGAUACCCUAAGUACUGCCAUUUGGUGGGAACAGGGUGACGCUGUUGAUC